rnacentral:rRNA from 1 species
AACGAGAGGACAAGAGAAGCUUGCUUCUUUUGGAAUCGAGUGGCAAACGGGUGAAUAACACGUAAACAACCUGCCUCAAAGAGGGGGACAACAGUUGGAAACGACUGCUAAUACCGCAUAAGCCCACGGGUCGGCAUCGACCAGAGGGAAAAGGAGCAAUCCGCUUUGAGAUGGCCUCGCGUCCGAUUAGCUAGUUGGUGAGGUAAUGGCCCACCAAGGCGACGAUCGGUAGCCGGACUGAGAGGGCGACCGGCCACAUUGGGACUGAGAUACGGCCCAGACUCC